CCACUCCUGGAUAAACUGCUUUUCAUUACACCCGACACCACACAGGUUACCAGAACAGAAGAGCAAGUGGGCCACCACCACAAUCAUCUGUCAUCUGCUCAGGAGACCUUUUAAGACCACAGUAAUCCAUUUCCAUCAUAAUUCACCAUCACACAGUGCCUGUAGUAUAACACCGACUAAAGGUCCACCGUAAAGAGAGGACGGCCGUUCAGUUCUGUUUAAAGAUGUAAUGGACCCUAGCGCAAAAAAUGGACCCGGGACGCCAUCAAUUUAGGCAUGAAGUGGCAGGGACAUUUCCCAUAAUUUGCAGGAGAAGAUGUGAAGUUUUCUUUGAAGUCUGUGUGUUGGGUUUCGUUAUGUCUCGCUGUAUCUUUGCUCUCAGGUAGACCUCUACAAAGCAGAAAUCAUGUGGCGUCGCGCACACACGUCGUCAUCCUGCUGUCUGUCUGCACACCACACAUAUCACACGACUGCACGUCAAUACAUUUCUGAAUGUUCAGACAACAAAUCAGAGUAACUCUCUUAAUACAACUGAUAGCUGUAGUCUUGCACUUGGAUCUGUCACUUACACAGUAACAGCUAUGAUGUGAAGCACAUAUUCACCAGAUAUCACUGUACACCAACUGUUAACAUCCGUUCACACAUC